CGGGGUGUAGCGCAGUCCGGUUAGCGUACACGUCUGGGGGGCGUGUGGUCGGAGGUUCGAAUCCUCUCACCCCGACGA
rnacentral:tRNA from 1 species